GCGGAUGUGACCUAGCGGUAAGGUGUCGCCCUCCCAAAUACCGGUCAGGCGAAAACCCGAGUUCGAACCUUCGGCAUCCGCA